rnacentral:ncRNA from 1 species
AAAGAUAGAGGCGCGGUAAUUAUCAGUAGUAAAUCCUUUAAAAAGGUAUUUGGCAUUUAUGAAAGGAAUUAUCGCCGAAGUUUAAUCAUCAAUACCUGGGUGUUUAAACUGGUGUGUUGCAGAAUAUGUCUCACACUGUCACUGUGAUUGUGGAGCGCUAUCGGA